AUGCGGGAAUAAACACACACACACACACACACACACACACACAGUAUUUGACUAAGCAUUAACCAUUCCAGCUAAGAGAUCAGUGUUUGUCAUUCAAAAUAGCUGAGGUGGUUGGGAGAGGACAGCCAGUAUUCCCCAAAAGAGGUUUAUUAGUUUCCUAGGCUGCUGUCACAAAUUGACACAGACUUAGUGACUUAAAACAACAGAAAUGUAUUCGCUUACAGCUUGGGAGACCAGAAAUCCAAGGUGAGUUUCCCUGGGUUAAAGUGAAGGUGUUGGCCCGGCUGGUUCCUUCUGGAGGCUCCGAUGGAGACUGUUCUUUGCUUUUUCAGCCUCUGGUUGCUGCUGGCAUUCCUUCGUUUGUGUUUGUGUCACUACAUUCUCUGCUUCUCUGGCACAUGGACUCUUCUUCUGCAUCCAGUUUUCCUCUGUCUUCCUCUCAUAA
rnacentral:lncRNA from 1 species